CGUUCCGUGUGAUAUUGUAUAAUGUGUCGGAAAGACUACGGAAACCGAAAACGGAUGUGAUGGUAAACGGACAGUUUGUACAGUGAUAAUAAAUAGGUAAAAUUCGAUCGCGGACGUUUUGUACGGUACGGCAUUAUGAUUUUCGCCACUAUAGAUGACUGUUUUACCUACUAUAGUAAGUAUUAUUACACCGGUGCUCGCAACAAUCCAUAGGCCAGUAGGCCACUUGAGUGUGAGCCGGUUCAGUCAUCGUCGUCGUAACCAUUCUGCUCCCACAGUACCAUUUAUGAUUCUGCGAUCACUGAUCACAAUUUAGUGUGACUUGCAUUGUAUCUUGUGCAUACGUUAUUCCAUUUGUCUAAUCUGAUAGUGACUGACACUAGCCGUUGAGUCAUAACACCAAUAUCAAGUAUGCACCAUUGAGGAGAAAACAAUUCAAAAAAUCAUUUAUCAAAUCCACACGUAGUGGGAAUUUGUGUGAUGGAAAACGUGCUGAAGAAGAAACUGAAACCUUCCGUUUCAAGAUCAGGAAGUUGUGGCUCGGUCGAAUGAAUUUUACGAGGAAAGUACAUCGAAUAAGUCACCCAAUGAAGAAUAUCAUUGAUCGAUGACAUCGAAAUUGGUGAUAAAUUGAAUUUAUUAAACGAAUUUUUAUAUAGAUUUAGGCGGGAGGAUACAGAUUGUUAUACCGAUUGUAUUUUAUGUUGAGGUAAUGGCGUAUUUUUACAGAUAUAUAUUGGAAAAUAUUAUGCAUGCAGAGGUAAAUUGGGUAUUUUAUACAAGCUGUUAUAGCAA